rnacentral:siRNA from 1 species
CGCAUCGAACUACCUACCACCUA